UACGGAGGAUGCGAGCGUUAUCCGGAUUUAUUGGGUUUAAAGGGUGCGUAGGCGGCUUUUAAGUCAGCGGUGAAAUUUUGCAGCUUAACUGUAACAGUGCCGUUGAUACUGGGGAGCUAGGAUUUGGUUGCUGUGGGUGGAAUGUGUGGUGUAGCGGUGAGAUGCUUAGAUAUCACACAGAAUAUCAAUUGCGAAAGGCAGCUCACAAAGCCAAGAUUGACGCUGAGGCACGAAAGUGUGGGGAUCAAACAGGA
rnacentral:rRNA from 1 species